rnacentral:snoRNA from 1 species
GCUGGCUGUGAUGACAAACUUGCCCUCUCUGAGAGAACUGCUCUGUUAUGACCCAAACGCUCCUGAGCCAAA